GACGAACGCUGGCGGCGUGCUUAACACAUGCAAGUCGAACGGUGACGAGGAGCUUGCUCCUCUGAUCAGUGGCGAACGGGUGAGUAACACGUGAGCAACCUGCCCCAGACUCUGGGAUAACAGUUGGAAACAGCUGCUAAUACCGGAUACGAGACGGAGAGGCAUCUCUACCGUCUGGAAAGUUUUUCGGUCUGGGAUGGACUCGCGGCCUAUCAGCUAGUUGGUGAGGUAAUGGCUCACCAAGGCGACGACGGGUAGCCGGCCUGAGAGGGCGACCGGCCACACUGGGACUGAGACACGGCCCAGACUCCUACGGGAGGCAGCAGUGGGGAAUAUUGCACAAUGGGCGAAAGCCUGAUGCAGCGACGCCGCGUGAGGGAUGACGGGCCUUCGGGUUGUAAACCGUCUUUCAGCAGGAAGAAGCGAAAGUGACGGUACCUGCAGAAGAAGCACCGGCGUAACUAACGUGCCAGCAGCCGCGUAAACGUACUA
rnacentral:rRNA from 1 species